AAGGAGGAAUCCGAAAAUCCUUUAAAAAGAGUAGGAA
rnacentral:ncRNA from 1 species